GAUGCUAAUACCGGAUAACAACACUAGACGCAUGUCUAGAGUUUAAAAGAUGGUUCUGCUAUCACUCUUGGAUGGACCUGCGGUGCAUUAGCUAGUUGGUAAGGCAACGGCUUACCAAGGCAAUGAUGCAUAGCCGAGUUGAGAGACUGAUCGGCCACAUUGGGACUGAGACACGGCCCAAACUCCUACGGGAGGGCAGCAGAC
rnacentral:rRNA from 1 species